GCUGGCUGUCAGAGGGCAGAGAGUGAGUGAGUGUGCGUGUGUGUCUGUGUUUAUAUUAAUCAUCAUUUGAGAUGUUUAGUGAGGCACAGUUUCAGCAGGACACACUGAUUACAACUCAGACAGAGAAUUGGAGGACAGCCAUUCUAAUCCACCUGUAAAAGACAAAAGUCAGUCACCUCCAUGGGAUAGGCCUCCCU